GUAAAGUACUUAUGGUUGCUUCACCAUAAUCGAGGAAACUUUCACUAACAAAUUUUAGUGUUGGUACAUUUUGUAUUCUUGGUCAUAAAAUAAGGGGCUUGUGCAGGUGCAUUUCCACCAAUUAGGUCAAUAUUUACAUAGUCAUGCAAAGAUAGUAUCUUUCUUUUUCUAUGAAAAAAUUCCCCAGCAUGUGAGAAUAUUCAACUACCUUUCUACAUUAUUAAGUUUAAGCAUCUUUAUAUUUUUGUCAUCUGCUUUGGAUAGUGCCGUAAUUCUCUAAUGACCAAGAUAAUGAAAAGCCUGUGUGGAAGAGUGGAAGCUGUAGCCACUAGGAACGAAUUCUAUAUCCCUGGAUCAGCCAUCCAUUUCGUGUGUUUUAUGAUCACACAUAGAUGCAUGAGGUAUCUACAAUAAUGCUCUGUGAAAGAAGCAUUGCUUUUCUGGAAAAUGAUUUUUGAAACUCUGUUUUUGUACAUUCUGCAAAUGGAAAUUUGGAAGCUCAUUGAUGCCAUUGGUGAAAAAGCAAAUAUCCACAGAGAAAAACUAAAAGGAAUCUAUCAGAGAAACCAGUCUGUGAUGUGUGCAUUCCCUGGCAGAGGUAAACCUUUCUUUUGAUUCAGCAGUUUGGAAACUGUUUUAGUCCAUUCUGUAAAUGGACAUUUGGGAGCUCAUUGAGGCCAUUGGAGAAAAAGCGAAUUGAGGCCAUUGGAGAAAAAGCGAAUUUCCCAGGAUAAAAACUUGAAGGAAGCAAUCGAGAAACUGCUUUGUGAUGUGUGCUUUCAUCUCACAGAGGUAAACCAUUCUUUUCAUUCAGCAGUUUGGAAACACUGUUUUUGUCCAUUCUGUGAAUGGACAUUUGGGAGCUCAUUGAGGUCAUCGGAGAAAAAGUGAAUAUCCCAGGGUAAAAACUAGAAG
rnacentral:lncRNA from 1 species